rnacentral:rRNA from 2 species
AGACCGAUAGCGAACAAGUAGAGUGAUCGAAAGAUGAAAAGCACUUUGAAAAGAGGGUUAAAUAGCACGUGAAAUUGUUGAAAGGGAAGGAUUUAUGACCAGACUUUUUCUAGGGGGAUCAUCCGGUGUUCUCACCGGUGCACUUCCCCUAGUUGAGGCCAGCAUCGGUUUCUGCCGGGGGAUAAAAGCUUCGGGAAUGUGGCUCUUUCGGGAGUGUUAUAGCCCGUUGCAUAAUACCCUGGCGGGGACCGAGGUUCGCGCAUCUGCAAGGAUGCUGGCGUAAUGGUUAUUAAUCACCCGUCUUGAAACACGGACCAAG